UUGAUGCCAUUCAUGAUGUCAGGUGCUUUGCUGGGUUGGGACUGAUGCUGAUGAGGCCUGCAGCUCUCAAAAUGCUCUGAGAAAUAUCUGUAUAAAAGGACCCUUCUCUACAGUAACUUGAGAAGAUUCUUCCUUCUUUCCAGGGUUUCUCCUGGAACUGUUACUAGGGCAUUCUGUUGUUAUGAUAAAUAUCUGAAAACGAAUGAAGAGGAAUGCAUGUGGUGUGAAGCACUUACUGGCACCACAGAAUUGUGGCUUACAUUUACAAGUCAUUUAGUCUGGCUGGUGCCUCCUGACCAUGCUGUUCUUGGACCCUGUGGUUUGCUUCACCCUGAGCAGGCUGAUAUCCAAGGAGUGAAGUAGCAAUCUCCAGAGGAGCAUCCUUCCCAGGAUUCUCCAUCAUACAGACAGAGAGUUCUGGAUUUCUGGCUCUAUCAUGGAUGUCUGCCUCUGAGUCUACAUCUUCGCAGAAGUUUGGAUCAUUGCCUUGAUUCAGUCAGAGAGCUGCCGAUAUGCUGAGGCUGGUGCUCGCUACCCCGGUGAGUAUGUUGUCAAAUAUAUUUAUGCCUAAUAUUUUGUUUCAGAGGAACUGAUGAAUAUGAAAAAUAGUUCAUAACUUCAGAGGAUGUUAGCUGUGGAUUUCACAAGUCCUCUGAAGGCAAGGAAGCAGCAUUAUUAGCAGAACUGUGUAGUGUAUAGGAGACAAUCUAGGUCGUCAACCAGAUUGAGCUCUGCUACCUGUUAAGAUCCACUUUAAGCAAACAGACUGAUCUUUCUGAAUUCCAGUCAAGUAACUUUGGGCCUUAUGAUUUUAUGCAAUGGACAAGCUGAGCUGAUUCUGGAACUGAUUGUGUUGUUUGAGUUUGUUGGUAAUUUG